UAUCCUCAUUUUCACCCUCUGUUUAAGGCAUUAUUUUUGUGUUUAUUCACACUUGUGUCUUCUGUUUAGUCUUCAGUUCUGAAACUUUUUAAAAAUUUGUUUCUUCCCUAAGUUUUGUCACUUCAUUUCUGAGUUUAUAUAGCUCUAAUUUAUGUUGUUCUUUUGCAUCCUGAAUUAUUUCUUUAAUUUCAUUUAGCCUGUUUUGAAACAGUAGGUUAAUAGUUUUGAUCUAUUUUGUAAGCAUGUUAUACUAGUGUGCUUUUAUUUUCUGUACUAUUCCACUCCUUAAUCUCUCUCCCACUCUGUCUCCCUCAUAAUCAGUUUAUAUGGGAUUUGAUCAUGGUAUUUUUCUGUUGCUUAUAUUUCUAUAAAAUUAGUUCUCCUAAGUAUUUAGGAAGCAUGGUUCAGAAUAGCUUUUCUAACUUCACAAAGUUCUCUUUUUUCUGUUUUUUUAUAACUUAAAAAAUAUGUCAGUUUGCUUUCUGAUGUUUUCUGACUUUGCUAAACUUCCCCACUUUUAUCUGCACCCUCUCUUUCCUUUGUCUUUAUUGUCCCCUCUUGGUUUUCUUUUUUUCUUCUCAUAAUGAUGUUAAGAAACUGAUAGAUCAUGAUCACAUGCAUCACCAUGUGCAUUACCUCAUUUCACAAUAAUCCCAUAAAGUAGAUAUUAUUAUCCCCAUUAUACAGAUGAGAAACUGGGGUACAGAGCAGUUAAGAAAUUUGUCCAAAGGCACAAAUUAGUCAUUAGUGGAGUCAGGAAUCAAAAUUUGACAGUCUUGACAUCAGAGCCUUUGUAUCCUGCUCAAUUUUGAUACAUCUCCAAGCAGUGUGUUGUUGCCCUAUUUUGGAAGGGAGCUAUGACCAGUCAGUUUCAAGAGUUCAUAGGGGUUAGACUGCUUCAGAUCUGAAUGUGCCUUGCACUCACUCCCUGUGAAUUGUGCAAAACCCCUUCCAGUUUCACAUGCUAAUCUCCAAUUGAUCUUCUGUGCUUUCCAGAGAUCUGCUGGCUAUUUUGGAGUUGUCCUGUUCUCAGGUCUAUUAAGACAACUUUUGCCUCCCUUUGCCUCCUCCUGUAGAGAUGCAAAUAUGCACACAUUUUGGCUGCAGCACCUUGUCCCCACCUGCUUCUAUUUUGGGGCUCGUGGGUUACCUUGUCACUUAGUUUUGCUGGAAAAAUUGUAUGUGGGUUUUUCGUUUUGCUAUCUAGUUUUCCUGCUCAUUUUUGUGUGGCGAUUCAUGGAAAUUCAAACACUAAGUUGCUACUGCCACCAUCUCCCUAGGACCUACAACAUUUUAGUCACACAAGAUUCUUCCCCUGUACCUACCCAAUCUUCCCAAAUAACACCAUUAUUU
rnacentral:lncRNA from 1 species